GUAACAGCUCACUGGUCUAGUGGUUCCGCGCCGACAAUGUAGCGGGGCUCAAGCACACCACCGAAGACGCGGCAGCAAUCUUCAUGGUUGCUGGGUAGGAGAGCGUCCUGCGAGGGGCGAAGCGGCCGGGUAACCGUGCCGUGGACUUCGUGGGAGUGAGAAUGCAGACAUGAGUAGCGAGAGACGGGUGAGGAUCCCGUCCGCUGGAUGACCAAGGGUUCCGGGGCCACGUUCGUCGUCCCCGGGUGAGUCGGGUCCUAAGGCGAGGCCGACAGGCGUAGUCGAAUGGAUGAACGGGUGGAUAUUCCCGUACCGACCAUGGACCGGCAAAACCGAGACGGUGAGUACUAACCUCCGCCUCGUGGUGGUUCCUUCCUUCGGGUUGGUGUCGCCGCGUGGUGUUGGGACUGUAGCCGCAGUAGGUCAGCGCAGGGGUGACACGGAAUGGGAGCCGGCCGCGGAGGUGGUUUUCCGUGGUCAAGCACGCAGCCAGUCAUGUAGGCAAAUCCGCAUGGCGCGCAUGGCGAGGUGUGAUGAUGGGAGCCGUUAUGGCUCGAUAUCCGGUUGUCCAGGCCGUCGAGAAAAGCCUCGGCGUGAGGGCCAUGGCCGCCCGUACCCCAAACCGACACUGGUGGUCAGGUAGAGAAUACCAAGGCGAUCGAGCGAAUCCUGGUCAAGGAACUCGGCAAAUCACUCCCGUGCCUUCGGUAUAAGGGAGACCCGCUGGGGUGAACCGGCUAGCCCGGGGAGCUUUGGUGGGUGGCACAGACCAGGGGGUAGCGACUGUUUACCAAAAACACAGGUGCAUGCGAAGGCGAAAGCCGCUGUAUAUGCACUGACGCCUGCCCGGUGCCGGAAGGUUAAGAGGAUCCGUCAAUCCCUUCGGGGACGAAGCGGUGAAUUCAAGCCCCGGUAAACGGCGGUGGUAACUAUAACCAUCCUAAGGUAGCGAAAUUCCUUGUCGGGUAAGUUCCGACCUGCACGAAUGGCGUAACGACUUCCCCACUGUCUCGACCAGGAGCUCGGCGAAAUUGCAGUACGAGUAAAGAUGCUCGUUAAGCGCAGAAGGACGAAAAGACCCCGGGACCUUUACUAUACCUUGGUAUUGGCGUUAGGCGCGGAUUGUGUAGCAUAGGCGGGAGGCUUCGAAGCGUGGGCGCCAGCUCAUGUGGAGCCGCAAGGUGAAAUACCGCUCUGUUCUCGUUUGACGUCUAACCUCGACAAGUCAUCCUUGUCAGGGACAGUGCCUGGCGGGUAGUUCAACUGGGGCGGUUGCCUCCCAAAGAGUAACGGAGGCGCUCAAAGGUCCGCUCAGCCCGGUUGGCAAUCGGGUGUCGAGUGUAAUCGCACAAGCGGGCUUGACUGCGAGGACGACGGUCCGAGCAGGGACGAAAGUCGGAGAUAGUGAUCCGGUGCCGGCGCACGGGCGCGGCAUCGCUCAACGGAUA
rnacentral:rRNA from 1 species